rnacentral:rRNA from 1 species
AUUGAACGCUGGCGGAAUGCUUUACACAUGCAAGUCGAGCGGCAGCGCGGGGGCAACCCUGGCGGCGAGCGGCGAACGGGUGAGUAACAUAUCGGAACGUACCCCGUCGUGGGGGAUAACACAGCGAAAGCUGUGCUAAUACCGCAUACGACCUGAGGGUGAAAGCGGGGGAUCGCAAGACCUCGCGCGAUGGGAGCGGCCGAUAUCGGAUUAGCUUGUUGGUGAGGUAAAGGCUCACCAAGGCGACGAUCCGUAGCUGGUCUGAGAGGACGACCAGCCACACUGGAACUGAGACACGGUCCAGACUCCUACGGGAGGCAGCAGUGGGGAAUUUUGGACAAUGGGGGGCAACCCUGAUCCAGCCAUGCCGCGUGAGUGAAGAAGGCCUCGGUUGUAAGACUCUUCGCCGGGAACGGAAAGUACGCAUGGGUUAAGUACCCUGUGCGGAUGACGGUACCGGCGA